UACGGAGGUGGCUAGCGUUGUUCGGAAUUACUGGGCGUAAAGCGCACGUAGGCGGCCUUGUAAGUUAGAGGUGAAAGCCCAGGGCUCAACCCUGGAAUUGCCUUUAAGACUGCAUCGCUUGAACACGGGAGAGGUGAGUGGAAUUCCGAGUGUAGAGGUGAAAUUCGUAGAUAUUCGGAAGAACGCCAGUGGCGAAGGCGGCUCACUGGACCGUUGUUGACGCUGAGGUGCGAAAGCGUGGGGAGCAAACAGG
rnacentral:rRNA from 1 species